CACCCCACCCCGUGCCCUUCCCCAAUCAAUGCCUCUGGACUGCUGAUGAGCAUGGCUUGCCUCUCCCUGGACUUCGAAGGUCAAGACAAUGAAGUCUGUAGACCUGCUCAACUCAGAUAAGAGGCUGGGAAAGAAGACAAUUCAUAUCAAGUGUAACUGGAAUUGGUCACAAGCAGGAAGAAACAUAAAAGGAGAGACCCAGGAAUUUCAGUGGUGCUCAGGCUGGGAAAACCUGGUACCUUGUGGGUACGUGGAGGUUCACCUGGAGUUGGAAGAGGAAUACAGAGGUACAGUACAGCCUCAAUUAUGUCACAUUUUAGAUUGAGAAAAAUUUAAAUAUUCACCUCACAGUGAACCUGGCAUCAUUUCCUGGAAGCUUCACCUUCCACGUACCCUGUAUACCAACAAUCAAUGGUAUUAACAAAGCUUUUCUAGGACACCUGACCAGAUCAUUACUUGUCCAGGUUAAGAAGUUAGAAAGGCACCUGCCCUGCUGCCUGAAGAAGGGCAGACAAGGGGAUCUUUUUCUCUUUUUUCACUUGAAUGAGACAAAGGAAUUCAAGCAUUAGAGUAAAGCAUUAUAAAACAGUGAAUUUUUAUUUUAUGAAGUACAGGCUAAAGAGGAAACAUGGCAAAUAAACAUGGGAGAUCAAAGCACUCAAAUGUAGUAAAACAGCAACUUGCCCUUAAAGAAUACAAGGAAGCCUCUCAUGAAAAGAAAUUAAAAUUUUCAUAGUUAGGAAAUGUUGUAUAUGCUUCACUUCCAAAAUAUGAGUAAGCAGUCAGGGGUGGUGGUGGACACCUUUAAUCCCAGAACUCAGGAGACAGAGGCAGGUGGAUCUCUGAGUUUGAAGCCAGCCUGUUCUAUAGAGAGAAUCUAGGAUAGCCAGGGUUAUACAGAGAAACCCUGCCUCAAAACCACAUGUAUGUAUGUAUGUAUGUAUGUAUGUAUGUAUGUAUGUAUAUAUGUAUGUAUAUUUACAUAGAAUGAUUUUCAGACAUUUGAGGAGGUUUCCAAUGUUUUCUAAAAUUUGUAAGACCCAAAUAGGUAACUCAGUGGAAACAGUAUAUAUAGGAAAAAAAAAAAAGACUGAAAACAGUUUAUCAGUAAGAGCCCAAGAGAGAUGGAGAAUGGGAAAGAUAUAGCAAUAUCUUUGAGUAAGAACUCAAUGAAGGGAGUUGGGGAGAAGAUAGGUGAAAAACCCAAGACUUCCUGGCAACUGGCAAUUAAGAUUCCAUUCUUGUACCUCUUCAAGAACAUGCCCUUCUACCACAGACUUGUAAAAGAGUUUGCACCUUAUUUUCAUCUGCUGCCUCAUUUUGCUGCACCCCCACUCCAUAUUAAAACCAAAUGUCCUGAGUUUAGCACUAACUCUUAUUUGUCUUUAUAUGGCUAGUGCCUAAUGCCAGGGUCAAAUAGACAAACAGUAUCAGGGGACUAUUAGCUGACACUGAUUCAAGGGAACAGGUGCUGAAUUUCAAUUUGAAACAGCCCUGCAACCAGCUGCUGCACCAAGUCAAGAAGACAUCUUCAGAGAUAAUACAGAAGCAUAAAACCUCUGGAGUAAAGAUAGCCCCAGAGUGUCUCACUAUCUCUCUCCCCGCCCUCUCUCAUGUUACUGUUUCUUUGACUCUUCAUGGCCAAUCCAUGUGGCUUCCCUGUCUCCAUAUAUACUCUUUCCUGUAGGGGCUUCCUGGGUUUUCCAGACACUGCCUCUCUGUACAAUUGAGGCAGACAAUCAAUCCAAGAGUUCUUUAGGAAGUACUGCACUCUGACUUCAAAGGCAUUCCUACAACAUGAGAAAGAAAAUGAAAACCACUUUACUAUGGCUUACAAGCUAGCCAGCUCAUUGUGAUGGAGAGGGGGAUAAUGGACCAGCAUACAUAUGUGCAAGAAUCUCUGGGAUUGCUCUCUGGGAGAACAGCUGUGGGAAACUCCCCCUGGCACAUAAUGCUAACUCAGGGAAAUCAAAGCCCCUUCAGGCAGAAGAAGAAGGUGCAGAGGAAUAGCUGGCUACUUAUCAUGGGGUUCUGGAUCUCUUGUUCAAAGGCAUCUUUAUUUAGAGCUACCUGGGCUCUGCCUCUUGGCUCAUCAAAGUUUAAAAGUACUUAGAUGAUCAACCCUUGAGUAAUUGGUUCCCUCAAAAGAAGUAUUCAUGGGUGUUAGGGGCAACUGCAAGAAGACCACUGAAAAAUACAGUGGUCUUCAUCUCUUCUUUCAAUGACCCACAAAUCACACAUGAUUUCUUUCUUUCUUUUCUUCUCUUCUCUUCUCUCCUUCCUUCCUUCCUUCCUUCCUUCCUUCCUUCCUUCCUUCCUUCCUUUCUUUCUUUCUUUCUUUCUUUCUUUCUUUCUUUCUUUCUUUCUUUCUUUCUUUCUUUCCCCCCCUCCCCCUUGAGACAGGGUUUCUCUGUGUAGCCCUGGCUGUCCUGGAAAUCACUCUGUAGACCAGGCUGGCCUCAAACUCAGAAAUCUGCCUGGCUCUGCCUCUCAAUUGCUGAGAUUAAAGGUGUGCACCACCAAUGCCUGGCCACAUAUGAUUUCUACUGCUGACAGGAUCAGUGAAAGCAGUUCUUUCCUGUUUUCUUAAAUAGAGCAAAUAGGGAAAUGCUCUUUAGAAGAAACUCUCCGUAUUUCUUCCUAAUGCCCAAAGAGUAUAUAUAUGGCAAAUAGCUUUCCAAAGCUAGCAGCACAUGGUAGUAUCAAGUUCCUGCUUGAGGAAGCCACUAUCUCAUGUAGGGUGACUAACAUCCUGCUCUCCUCAAGACUACCAAUUCAGCACUAAAAAUAUGUCCUAGGAAACUGUUUAAGAGAAGGUUUCACUGUGUCACCCUGGCUGGCCUGGAACUCACGAUGUUUAAGAGAAGGUUUCACUGUGUCACCCUGGCUGGUCUGGAACUCACGAUGUUUAAGAGAAGGUUUCACUGUGUCACCCUGGCUGGCCUGGAACUCACGAUGUUUAAGAGAAGGUUUCACUGUGUCACACUGGCUGGCCUGGAACUCACGAUGUUUAAGAGAAGGUUUCACUGUGUCACACUGGCUGGCCUGGAACUCACGAUGUAGAACAGACUGACUUUGAACUCAACCUGCCUCUGCUUCUCAAGUAUUGAAUAAAAUGUGGCUCUCUCUCUCUUCAUGAGCACUAGGCUAAUCAGCAAAAAGGAUAUAUAGUCACCCAAAUCUCAGACCAGUCCUAAGAUAUUCUCACCCUACAUAAACAACAACUUUUAAUUCUAGUCUGUAACUUUCCUAAUAAUCUAUACAGAAUCUUCAAAUUUAUUUGGUCCUUCAAAUUUAUAUAGUCUCAUAUUUUGAAAAUAUGAAUUCCUCAAUCAUUGUCAGCCAUAUGGCAUACAGGUAUCAGAGCAUGUCACUUGCUGCUGCUUCUGGGGAAUUGCUGGGUGGAAAACAACAAACUUCCCACCAACUUUUAUCAUCAUGCUGACUUGCAGUGCAUGACUUCCAAGUGCAUGCAUCUAGUAGUCAGAGCAGGACAGAUUCUCAGGUGUCUAAUUUAGCAGUCUAGGCUCAGCACACCCGUGCUUUUGGAGCUUGAUAACUAUUGCGGCAAAUUGUUCUGUACAUUGUAGGAUCCUCCAGUCACGACAACUAAAAACAUCAGCAGACACUGACACACAUUCUACUUUGUAGGAAUGGGGGAGGCCACCAUGUAUAAGGCUCAGUGUACCAGAGUCUGUUCUGUCCUCUCUGGAAGUUCCUGGUGUCUUCUGUUUUUCUUUUUCCAUUUAGAUGUAAAUAGCUAAGCCUUAUUUGGGACUUGAUGAAUCUUAAGUAUAAUAAUUCACCUCAAAGCAGGGAGCAGCACACGCACUGAUUCUGCAUGUGGAUGCUAGGCUUUAUGCUCUCUAUUAACUAUGGGCUCAUGGUGGCCACAGAAGCCAUCGCCAAUACUGGUCUGAAGACUAAGCAUAGAGGUCUCAGGGCUGGGAGAUGGCUGAGUAGAGAGGCCUAAUGACCUGAGUUUGAUCCCCAGAUCCCACAAGGUGGCAGGAGAGAACAAACUUCUAAGAAUGAUCCCUUAUGCACACUCAAAAUAAAUACUAAAAAUAAUACAUAGGGGAUGGUAGGCACAGGGCUGGGGUGGGUGGGGAGAAUCUUCCAUCUUGUCUUUCAUCAGAAAAAGCAGCAAGCUCCAUGGUUUUCAUCCUCAUUCCACCACAGCUUACAUAUUGCCAUUUGCUUUCUAAAUCAACACUUAUGAAGUAAGGCAAAGCUAACAGUUCUUUAGACUCUUCUUCCUCUGCUACCUCACUGCAAAAGCAGUAUGCUGGGUCUGAGUUGGUUUGAGGAUGUUGCUCGACUUCUGGUAAACAGCAAAUAGCAAAGACUCAAGAUGCUUAUUUACUGGGAAAACAGGAGUCCUAGAAUAGCAUGUGCCAUUGUUAUGUUAGAGAGAUCUACAGAGGCAAGACUCAGCUCUUCUUGGUACCUAGAAGAUGGUCUAAAAAUAAAGAGAAGUUAAGCAAUGAAAAGAUAAGGUUCAGGAAACUCAUCCACUCUGAAAAUGGUUCACAAUACCAUGCUUCUAUUUUUAAAAAGUCUUAACUUCAUUUGAGAGAAAUAAAAACUUAGGGGACAAAGAGUACCACCUAUUACUUGGCUUCAGAGAUUAAGAGUCAGUGAGUAGAAAUUCAAAACAACUGGAGCAUCACUGGAGACAAAUUAGAUGACCACUCAAGUCUAUUUACCAACAGUUACCAUGACAUACUGGCCACACCUAAACUUCUGGAUCAAGAAUUUGGAAUUCUGAUCUCAGACGCUUGUGGAGCACAUCACCACUAUCCUCCCAUCCUGUGAAGGAAGGGGGUAAAGCAUGGAGAGAUAAGAGGAAGGCAGGGAGGGAGGGAGGUAGGGAGGGAAGGAGGGAGGAAGAGAGGGAAGGAGGAGUAGAGGGAGGGAGGAAGAAGUAAAUACAGAAGAUCAUUUUCACCUUCAAAUAGGUUAGGGCACCCUAGAAAAUGACACAUAGUGCUGGCACAUCCAAACUUUGGAAAGGGUUGGAAAAGCUACAAGUUUACAACUGAAGUAUUCCUCCUUUGGCAGAAGGAACUUCCUUGGUGUGUGUUCUCAAUGUAAUUAACAAAACAUGGCUGAGAGAAAACAAACACCAGGGCUCCUGAGGCACACUGCUACAAACCACAGUCUGAAGAGUUCAAAGCAGACUGCCUUCUUUUCUCCAAGGCCGAAGCUUACCUCUCUGUUGUGUUUGCCAUGUUCUCUUCGCCUGAAAUGAUGCUGCACAUUGAAGACUUUAGGAAUCUGUGCUUCCAUUUACAGCAUCUGCUCUAAUCUCAAACCACAAUUAAUCUAAGUUCUGAUGCAUAGUUUAAGACCUAAACGCUUUCCAAUAUGCAGAAGUGUGAUGUAGGCUACAUUCCUUGUCAUCAAGUUUGGGGUCCCUGGCUUGCUGGUAAUUGUACCCCAGCUGUUCUGGUAACCUAGACCUUGGCUGGUCUCUUUCAAUGGUGCCCCAGAUGAAGCCAGAAUAAAAUUGCACAACUGGAAAAAUAUUUUUUAGCUUAUUUGGUUUUGAAAAAAAAAAUUAGCGUGGAAAAAAAGUGGGUGGGUCACCCCCAAUGGGGAAUAGGCACUGUCCUCAGCCUCAGUU